rnacentral:rRNA from 1 species
AUUGAACGCUGGCGGCAGGCCUAACACAUGCAAGUCGAGCGCGAAAGUCUUCGGAUGAGUAAAGCGGCGGACGGGUGAGUAAUGCAUGGGAAUCUGCCUGGUAGUGGGGGACAACGUUUCGAAAGAGACGCUAAUACCGCAUACGCCCUACGGGGGAAAGGGGGGGAUCGUCGGACCUCUCGCUAUCAGAUGAGCCCAUGUCAGAUUAGCUAGUUGGUAGGGUAAAGGCCUACCAAGGGGACGAUCUGUAACUGGUCUGAGAGGAUGAUCAGUCACACUGGAACUGAGACACGGUCCAGACUCCUACGGGAGGCAGCAGUGGGGAAUAUUGGACAAUGGGGGAAACCCUGAUCCAGCCAUGCCGCGUGUGUGAAGAAGGCCCUAGGGUUGUAAAGCACUUUCAGUGGGGAGAAAGGUUAUUCACCUAAUACGUGAGUAAAUUGAUGCUACCCACAGAAGAAGCACCGGCUAACUCCGUGCCAGCCGCCGCUAAAA